rnacentral:rRNA from 1 species
GGACCCGACUGCUAUCAAAGUGGGACUAACCCAUGCGAGUCAACAUAGCAAUAUGUGGCAUACGGCUCAGUAACACGUAGUCAACAUGCCCAGGGGACGUGGAUAACCUCGGGAAACUGAGGAUAAACCGCGAUAAGUCACUGCUUCUGGAAUGGGUAGUGACUUAAAUCUAUAUGGCCCCUGAAUUGGACUGCGGCCAAUCAGGCUGUUGGUGAGGUAAUGGCCCACCAAACCUGUAACCGGUACGGGCUCUGAGAGGAGGAGCCCGGAGAUGGGCACUGAGACAAGGGCCCAGGCCCUAUGGGGCGCACCAGGCGCGAAACCUCUGCAAUAGGCGAAAGCCUGACAGGGUUACUCUGAGUGAUUUCCGUUAAGGAGAUCUUUUGGCACCUCUAAAAAUGGUGCAAAAUAAGGGGUGGGCAAGUCUGGUGU